rnacentral:rRNA from 1 species
GACGAACGCUGGCGGCGUGCUUAACACAUGCAAGUCGAACGGAAAGGCCCUUCGGGGUGCUCGAGUGGCGAACGGGUGAGUAACACGUGGGUGAUCUGCCCUGCACUUUGGGAUAAGCCUGGGAAACUGGGUCUAAUACCGAAUAGGACCGCGCUCUUCAUGGGGUGUGGUGGAAAGCUUUUGUGGUGUGGGAUGGGCCCGCGGCCUAUCAGCUUGUUGGUGGGGUAAUGGCCUACCAAGGCGACGACGGGUAGCCGGCCUGAGAGGGUGACCGGCCACACUGGGACUGAGAUACGGCCCAGACUCCUACGGGAGGCAGCAGUGGGGAAUAUUGCACAAUGGGCGCAAGCCUGAUGCAGCGACGCCGCGUGAGGGAUGACGGCCUUCGGGUUGUAAACCUCUUUCAGUACCGACGAAGCGCAAGUGACGGUAGGUACAGAAGAAGGACCGGCCAACUACGUGCCAGCAGCCGCAGUAAUAC